UGGCUGGUGUUCUAACGUAGACCCGUGAUCCGGGUUGCGGACAGUGUCUGGUGGGUAGUUUGACUGGGGCGGUCUCCUCCCAAAGAGUAACGGAGGAGCACGAAGGUUGGCUAAUCCUGGUCGGACAUCAGGAGGUUAGUGCAAUGGCAUAAGCCAGCUUGACUGCGAGCGUGACGGCGCGAGCAGGUGCGAAAGCAGGUCAUAGUGAUCCGGUGGUUCUGAAUGGAAGGGCCAUCGCUCAACGGAUAAAAGGUACUCCGGGGAUAACAGGCUGAUACCGCCCAAGAGUUCAUAUCGACGGCGGUGUUUGGCACCUCGAUGUCGGCUCAUCACAUCCUGGGGCUGAAGUAGGUCCCAAGGGUAUGGCUGUUCGCCAUUUAAAGUGGUACGCGAGCUGGGUUUAGAACGUCGUGAGACAGUUCGGUCCCUAUCUGCCGUGGGCGCUGGAGAAUUGAGGGGGGCUGCUCCUAGUACGAGAGGACCGGAGUGGACGCAUCACUGGUGUUCGGGUUGUCAUGCCAAUGGCACUGCCCGGUAGCUAAAUGCGGAAGAGAUAAGUGCUGAAAGCAUCUAAGCACGAAACUU
rnacentral:rRNA from 1 species